rnacentral:rRNA from 1 species
UACGUAGGGUGCGAGCGUUAAUCGGAUUACUGGGCGUAAAGCGUGCGUAGGCGGUCCGCGAAGUCUGAUGUGAAAGCCCCGGGCUCAACCUGGGAACUGCAUUGGAAACUGACGGGCUCGAGUGUGGCAGAGGGGGGGUGGAAUUCCACGUGUAGCAGUGAAAUGCGUAGAGAUGUGGAGGAACACCGAUGGCGAAGGCAGCCCCCUGGGCUAACACUGACGCUCAGGCACGAAAGCGUGGGGAGCAAACAGG